UAGAGUGUUUAAAGCAGGCUAACGCUUGAAUACAUUAGCAUGGAAUAAUGAAAUAGGACGUUCGAUCUUAUUUUGUUGGUUUCUAGGAUUGACGUAAUGAUUAAUAGGGAUAGUUGGGGGCAUUAGUAUUCAAUUGUCAGAGGUGAAAUUCUUGGAUUUAUUGAAGACUAACUACUGCGAAAGCAUUUGCCAAGGAUGUUUUCAUUAAUCAAGAACGAAAGUUAGGGGAUCGAAGACGAUCAGAUACCGUCGUAGUCUUAACCAUAAACUAUGCCGACUAGGGAUCGGAUGAUGUUAAUUUUUAAUGACUCAUUCGGCGCCUUACGGGAAAC
rnacentral:rRNA from 2 species